rnacentral:lncRNA from 1 species
AUAGCGUGGAUUUUUGAAUCUUUGUGAUCCCGUGGUUUUUACCUUCGAUUUGAAGGGUUUUUCCACGUUAAAUUUGGUGUUCUUUAUCUUCUUUAUAUUCGGGUUUGCCUCUUCCUCGACAUAACAAUGGUAUCAGAGCUUUCAAGACAAGUUCAUCUUGGGGGGUUCAGUUUUAGCCGCAACAUAUUUGACGAUAAACGUGAUUUUUGUUUGAGAAAUUUGACCGGUGUGCUACGCACGUUGAGACAAACUUUGUGAUGGAGAUUUGGAGAUGCGACCUAUUAAAUGCUACAUAAAGAAGGCAGAUCAAGUUUAUUUUGUCAGAAAUUCAGGCCAAGGGGAAGAAUUGUUAGGUGUUUGCUAUAACUUUCUUAUCAUAUUUGGUUUUCCUAUUUGUUGAAGGAAAAUGACAAUAUAAUUACCUUAAUUAGG